rnacentral:tRNA from 1 species
GGCCGUGUGCCCGAGUGGUUGAGGGACCCGCCUGCAAAGCGGUACACGCCGGUUCGAUUCCGGUCACGGCCU